UUAAGGCCUGGAUGCACAAACAGCAGUGACAGAAAAUACCAAGUGAUUCUUUAUACAAUGUAAAUGUGAAGCUUUCUUUUCCUUUUUUUUUUUUUUUUUGGACAAAGAAUAAAUUCUUCUCUUACAACCACAGCCUCUUCAAACUAAGUUAUCCUUCAAGUGCCAGACUUAAAGAUGAUCUGCUAUGGAAGGAAUCAUGUCAGUAUAAGCUUGCAGUAAUAAAAAUCUCCCUGCUCUCUAACUUAAAGCUCCUUUGUUCCUGCGAGGUACCAAUGUCGCUAAGCUGUUCUGAAGAAUCAUGUAAUAAUCAAGUUUAUUUGGUCACCAAGUCAACAUGCAGUUACCCUCCUGCAAGCAUCUCUCCACUGGAAGAUUAG
rnacentral:lncRNA from 1 species